GUCUGGUCGCUUUAGUCGAGCUGCUAGUGGGUUGAGAUUGUGGCGACCUGACAGAUUGAUGACUGUGCCACGUGGCUGCUUUUGAUUGGUCGGAGUAUGUAGUACCCCUACAUAGACCAAGUUCCUUCACCAGCUAGAAGGUCUCUUUUAGGCCAGUUAGAUGAUGCAUUGCCUUUUUUCUCUCUUUUGCAGAAGAAAUAACCACCACCAUUAUCUUCAAGCGUUUCAACUAUAAUACAAAAUAACAAUAGAAAAAAAACAAAUUAAGAAGAAGAAGAAGGAAAAAAAAGUAUACUUGAAGCGUUUCAAACAUAAUACAAAAUAAAAGGGGAAGCAGAACUGCAGAAGAGAAGAAAAACAAAUUAAGAAGAAGUAAGAGAAAUUGAAACUUACAUUGAGCAUAGAUGUCUUUAGGAGGUUU
rnacentral:lncRNA from 1 species